CAGUAUGAUGACGUGCACAGGCGCGACGAUGUCGUUGUUGAUAUAGUGGGUCGACGUCUGAGCAAAAUGAGCACAAGGCUCCCCGUGUUUUUCACUCACGAAGAGAUUUUUUUAUAGCCCACAGAUGGUUCAUUACAUUAGUGGCACUCAGAGCAUAGGUCUCCUCGCAUUUUUGCGCCACGAAGAGUGAGAUAGGCGAUUGGCACCAUCGAUCAUGUGAAAGAGGACAUUGCCUCACUUGAAAGAAAAAUGUGAUUUCCCUUCUCACUCUGCUACACAAAGCCAACUUCCCAGGUGCGUGCUACAGAUGGUGUUUAAAGGCUGCUGCCCUCCUCACUUUCACUGCUCUUCACUGCCAGACAGGGAGACCAAAUGCUCCCAAACUGAUGACUGCAAGAGUGUGGCAGAGCAUUGCACUCUUUGCCUGGGAGCACAGAGUGGGAACGAGCCAGGUGUUGUGGUAACAGACUUCCCCUGUGGCCCACUGAUGAAGAACAUCUGGAGUGCUUCUGUUCCGCCACUUCUUUCCUGUCCCCAAUAUGACCAGGCGGUGUAGCUAACAGUGCGAUGCAUGUCAACACAUGGCUCCAAGGUCCCCUGAUAGAGGCGGAGACGCUCCGAUACUCCUUCAGUGACAUGUCCGCCAAAUUCACACUUACAUUGUGCUCUUCCCAUAUGUGUGACUGGUGAUGGUUCAAAGAGUGCCAAGUCCAUUCAUGAAAAUUUACACAUUUUCAGUUCUCAAUGCUUGGUGAAAGCUUACUUAGUGAAAACCGGACAGAGUGAAUGAUUAACAACAUACUGUAUUUUACAUUAAUCCGACUGUUAUGUAACUGUUAUGUUAACAAGGAGUGGAGUGGUCUGUCGACCAACCUUGCAUGAUUUUGGGAUGUUGGAGUAAAACCAAGGUUUUAGUGUACUGUGUCAAAAUCUAUCAUUUUGAAGGCUGAUGCUAAUAAUUUGACCUUCUGUGUCACUGAAAGAGGUAAGCAAACAUACUAGAAAUGCCUCUCAUUAACAGUGUAGUUCUACCACACUGUAAACUACAGUACAAAAAAAGAGUGCUACAUGAAUAAACUGUCAAUCCAAAGUAAUUACCGUAUUUUUCAGACUAUAAGUCGCCGUUUUUUUCAUAGUUUGGCUGGGGGUGCGACUUAUACUCAGGAACGACCUAUGUGUGAAAUUAUUAACACAUUAGGAUAUCAUUUCACAUGUUAUUUUGGUGUUUUGGAGUGACACUGAUGGUUUGGUAAACUUGUUAGCAUGUUCUUUAUGCUGUAGUUAUCUGAAUAACUCUUAAUAGCUAUGGCCACGUUCGCGUUCUGCCUUUGGCAAUGUGUGUUCAAUUGUAUUAUUGACUUUUUUAUAUUGAAAUGCAUGCUUUUAGUUUGUGGCGCUUUCACGCCCACGUGAGGGCGCACUCGCACUUGUUUACGUGAAGAAGACCGCUCGCAUGCUAGAAGAAAACGGACAGCUACGCAGCUUGAGUGAGUGGGCGAGUUAGCGAGAGAGAAACACAGCUGCGAACCUACGUUCAUUGUAUAUGCUUGUAAAAUAUCUCUACAGAGGCAACACCUGUGUGUAUCAUCUUUUCUGUUGUUGUUGUGUUUUCCACCCGCGAUCGGACACUUAAAGCCAGUGGUGUGGUUGUUUGAACGAUGUGCUAAUGCUAGCGAACGCAUGCUUACCGUUUGUGCAUUUAUUUACGUUGAUGCGGACCUGUUUGGUAUCGAGGACGGAAUUGCGGAAUCCGCAAAUUAUACGAACGUCAAGCAUCGUCAUUUGGGAGUUUAGCUCGCUGUAUAGCUAGGACCAAGCCAUAGCAUCCUGGUGAGGACAGUAUAUUCGCAUUUCGCUGUUCAUGCACUGUACACUUAUUCAGCAUUUUGUUCUCUAUUGUAUUUUUAUAUUAAAUUGCCUUUCAAGAUGACAGAUGUGUUCUAUGUGUUGGGUUUUAUCAUGUAAAUGUCCCCCAAAAUGCGAUUUAUAAUCCGGUGCGACUUAUAUGGUUUUUUUCUCUUCGUUGGGCAUUUUAUGUCUGGUGCGACUUGUAGUCCGAAAAAUAAGGUAAAUAGUUUUUAUUUCAACCAUUAAAAACUAAGCAACAAUUUUUGAUCCAUAUAUAGAAUUAGAUCUCAUUACAUUUAGAAAGGUGUCAGAGGUACUGUACUGGUAAUGCAUGUACUGUACGGUAUUUACUGUGUAUUGUUAACAAUGUCAGAAAUGUAACCAUGUGUGACUGCAAUUGUUAGUAGCAGUUUUACAAGUGUCUUUAGAUAGACAAAAAGUAUAAGCAUCUAAAAGAACAAUUGAGCUGCUAUUGUAUUUAGUGUUUGUCCUUUGAAGGCCGUGGAUGAGUUAAAUCUGCUGGAACCCUGCCCCACUGUCCAAAUGA